rnacentral:lncRNA from 1 species
GACUCGAGGUGCUCAGCUGCUGUGCCAGAGCCUGAGAUCUCAGUUAUGGAGAGACCACCACAGCACUUCCUCUACAUCUCCAACGGGCUCACCGGUGGAUGUUGUUCUCAGCCGGUCUCUUCCCGAGUAUCCAGUUUUAAAAUGCUUCGCAACUUGGCUUUUCUUAAAAGUUUGACCAUCUGGUUUGUUGGGUAAACAAAUCCGUGGGAAGAAGUGACGCGUGUUCAUGGUUUUCCACUAGGCGGUGCGUCCUUUUACCUGGAUAGGACUCUGUGGCUGGCCAAGUACACCUCCUCCUCCUUUGCGUCAUUCAUAGUUCAACUUUUUCAAGUGGUUUUAAUGAAGCUCAAUUUUGAAUCAGAAACUUACAAAUUGAAAGGCUAUGAAUCCAGAGCUUAUGAAUCACAGAGCUAUGAGACAAAGAGCCAUGAGUCAGAAGGUAUUUAAAUGUUUUUUUUCUCCUUUCUCCACUGAAUCAUGCUUUCAAGGUGGAGAAAGCCCUGCUUCUUCUGAGGCCCUUUUGCAUCUCCUGCAGGCUCCAUGCUGCUCUCUCAGCUGUUUUCUGUGGCUCUUCCUCCCGUGGGAGCUUGUCAAGUGUUGGUGUAGCCUGUUAAAGUUCAGCUUCGUGAAAAUUGGUCAGGAUUUAGGCUUUAGAAUCUUAUUAUUGUAUGCACAGGUACUCAUGGAGAUCAGAGGACAACCUUGUGAAGUUGUUUCUCUCUUUCAGAUUUGAGUGGCUUUAAAAAAAGUAGGGAUGGGGUAUGGAGGGCUGCCUCAGCAAUUAAGAACACUUGUUGCUCCUGUGGAGAACCUGAGCUUGGGUCCCACACCCACACUGGAGGCUUAUACCCUCCUGUAACUCCAGUAUGAGGAUCUGAGACCCUCUUCUGGCCUUUGGGAACCCUAACCCUAACCUGCAUGAAUGUGUGCAUAUACAAGUACACAUAAUUAAAAAUUUAGGUAAAAAUAAAAAAGGUUAAUGAGCUCAACUUUUGACUUUUGCUUAUUAACUUUAAGCAAAACCAGUUCAUUUGCAUGCCAGUUAGAACCCCACUUGAGAAAACCUUUAGGUAAGCCUGUCUUCCCUCGUGAUGGCUAAUGCAUAUUAACAGCCUGCAGCUUUCUGAUCUUCCUGUU